AGCGAACGCUGGCGGCAGGCCUAACACAUGCAAGUCGAGCGGCCGUAGCAAUACGGCAGCGGCAGACGGGAGAGUAACACGUGGGAACGUACCUUUCAGUUCGGAACAACCAAGGGAAACUUUGGCUAAUACCGGAUACGCCCGUAAGGGGAAAGAUUUAUCGCUGAAAGAUCGGCCCGCGUCUGAUUAGCUAGUUGGUGGGGUAAUGGCCCACCAAGGCGACGAUCAGUAGCUGGGCUGAGAGGAUGAUCAGCCUCACUGGGACUGAGACACGGCCCAGACUCCUACGGGAGGUAGCAGUGGGGAAUAUUGGACAAUGGGCGCAAGCCUGAUCCAGCCAUGCCGCGUGGAUGAUGAAGGCCCUAGGGUUGUAAAGUCCUUUCGGCGGGGAAGAUAAUGACGGUACCCGCAGAAGAAGCCCCGGCUAACUUCGUGCCAGCCGCCGCAGUAAGAC
rnacentral:rRNA from 1 species